rnacentral:lncRNA from 1 species
CGUAGUUUUGCAGAAACGGAAGUUAACACAGUAAAUGGUAUCACAGGUAUCGUUUGUGAUCUUACUUCAUUCACUCACUUUAUAUAUCAGGAAGUACAGUUAAUGAAUGAGCACAAUGGCGGAGUAUGACUUAUUUCACAAACAGACUAUGUCUAUAAUGACGCUUUUGAUAGAAACAGUCCUAGACGAGAUUCAGAAAGUUUUUGAACGUGAAUGUCGCCCAUCUCACACUGAAAUUAGUAACGUUAGUGACAGAGAUCCGAUAUUGGACAUGAAUGAGAAACAACGCAGACUGGCAAAGCUCACAGCUGUGAUGGAGACCUUUACCAAGGUGGCUGUUCAAAAAAUAUGCAAAGUCUUCAGUUAUUGCUUUGCGCUUAAGCCAACUCAGUUGCAGGGUUUUAAAAGUUAUCAUGAUGAUGUAAUAAAUGUAAAAGAGUUGCUGAAGGAGCAUGUGAAGAAACCAGAAAGAAAAAACAGUCAAGCUGUCAGAGAUGUGCCUGAUUCUGCAACUGUAGCUCCAUCGGUGUCUCUGGAGAGACCGAAACUGCUCACUGCGUUACCUGAAGAAACUGUUCAACCACAAGAUUCGGUUAAAGACCAGGAGGUGAGUUCAUUAUUGAAAAGAUUCAACUCUGUGUUGUUUGCUAAAAUGCUUGCAUCAAUGUUCGUACUGAUUUAA